rnacentral:rRNA from 1 species
GAAAGCAGGGGAUCGCAAGACCUUGCGCUUUUGGAGUGGCCGAUGCCUGAUUAGCUAGUUGGUGGGGUAAGAGCCUACCAAGGCGACGAUCAGUAGUUGGUUUGAGAGGACGACCAGCCACACUGGGACUGAGACACGGCCCAGACUCCUACGGGAGGCAGCAGUGGGGAAUUUUGGACAAUGGGCGGAAGCCUGAUCCAGCAAUGCCGCGUGAGUGAAGAAGGCCUUCGGGUUGUAAAGCUCUUUCAGUCGAGAAGAAAAGGUUGUGACUAAUAAUCGCAACUUAUGACGGUAUCGACAGAAGAAGCACCGGCUAACUACGUGCCAGCAGCCGCGGUAAUACGUAGGGUGCGAGCGUUAAUCGGAAUUACUGGGCGUAAAGGGUGCGCAGGCGGCUCUGUAAGUCAG